AUUGAACGCUGGCGACAGGCCUAACACAUGCAAGUCGAGCGAGCGGCGGACGGGUGAGUAAUGUCUGGGAAACUGCCUGAUGGAGGGGGAUAACUACUGGAAACGGUAGCUAAUACCGCAUACCAUCAGAUGUGCCCAUGUGGGAUUAGCUAGUAGGUUGGGUAACGGCUCACCUAGGCGACGAUCCCUAGCUGGUCUGAGAGGAUGACCAGCCACACUGGAACUGAGACACGGUCCAGACUCCUACGGGAGGCAGCAGUGGGGAAUAUUGCACAAUGGGCGCAAGCCUGAUGCAGCCAUGCCGCGUGAGUGAAGAAGGCCUUCGGAUUGUAAAGCACUUUCAGCGGGGAAGCGUUACCCGCAGAAGAAGCACCGGCUAACUCCGUGCCAGCCGCCGCGGUAAUAC
rnacentral:rRNA from 1 species